UACAGAGACUGCAAGCGUUAUUCGGAUUCACUGGGCGUAAAGGGUGCGCAGGCGGCCGGGUGUGUCAGAUGUGAAAUCCCACGGCUCAACCGUGGAACUGCUCGGUAUACUGCUCGUCUUGAGCCAACUAGGGGCGACCGGAACAAACGGUGGAGCGGUGAAAUGCGUAGAUAUCGUGUGGAACGCCGAUGGUGAAAACAGGUCGCUGGGGUUGUGCUGACGCUGAGACACGAAAGCCAGGGGAGCGAACGGG
rnacentral:rRNA from 1 species